rnacentral:lncRNA from 1 species
AGGAAAGGCUGAGUCAGGCAGCAACCAGGGGGCCUGUGUGUAAAGUCUGGCUUCCGACACUGUGCUUUCCCUCUUUCCCCGCAUGUGCACUGCUCACGGCGCUCAGAGGUGCUGCCAGAGCCAGACUUUCUCUCUCAUUCAUUCAUGAAUAUGAUGGAUACUGGAAGCAACCCUUCAGUGCACAAUCUCCUCAGAAGGUGUUCAAAACCUACCCGACUCUCUGACCUUUUAGGAGCCUACACAUAUCACACACUUCUUUUCUGGACACCUCCUGGUAAGAUGUGAUAGAAACUCAGCUCUCAAGUAAGAAUCCUCUCUUUCUAUUGAUAUACUCCCAAAAUAAUUGUAUUUUCUACAAAAAGUACAAAGUAAGGAGAAUUUGUCUU